rnacentral:rRNA from 1 species
UACAGAGGGUGCGAGCGUUGUCCGGAAUCACUGGGCGUAAAGGGUGCGUAGGCGGGUCUUUAAGUCAGGGGUGAAAUCCUGGAGCUCAACUCCAGAACUGCCUUUGAUACUGAGGAUCUUGAGUUCGGGAGAGGUGAGUGGAACUGCGAGUGUAGAGGUGAAAUUCGUAGAUAUUCGCAAGAACACCAGUGGCGAAGGCGGCUCACUGGCCCGAUACUGACGCUGAGGCACGAAAGCGUGGGGAGCAAACGGG